CCCUUAGAUGUUCUGGGCCGCACGCGCGCUACACUGUUCGACGCAGCGAGUCUUAACCUUGACCGAAAGGUUUGGGUAAUCUUCAGCAAAGUCGAACGUGAUGGGGAUCGAUCAUUGCAAUCAUUGAUCGUGAACGAGGAAUUCCUAGUAAGUGCAAGUCAUCAGCUUGCGCUGAUUACGUCCCUGCCCUUUGUACACACCGCCCGUCGCUACUACCGAUUGAAUGGUUUAGUGAGAUCUCUGGAUUGACGCUGGCUAGGGGGCGACCCUUGGCCAGGCUGUCGAGAAACUGCUCAAACUUGAUCAUUUAGAGGAAGUAAAAGUCGUAACA
rnacentral:rRNA from 1 species